rnacentral:rRNA from 1 species
AGCGAACGUUAGCGGCAGGCCUAACACAUGCAAGUCGCACGAGAAUCCGGCUUCGGCCGGUAGUAAAGUGGCGAACGGGUGAGUAACACGUGGGUGACCCGCCCUCAGCUCUGGGAUAAGCCUGGGAAACCGGGUCUAAUACCGGAUAUGACUCCAUGACGCAUGUUGUGGGGUGGAAAGCCUUGUGCGGCUGAGGAUGGGCCCGCGGCCUAUCAGCUUGUUGGUGGGGUGANGGCCUACCAAGGCGACGACGGGUAGCCGGCCUGAGAGGGCGACCGGCCACACUGGGACUGAGACACGGCCCAGACUCCUACGGGAGGCAGCAGUGGGGAAUCUUGCGCAAUGGGCGAAAGCCUGACGCAGCGACGCCGCGUGAGGGAUGACGGCCUCGGUGUAAC